rnacentral:tRNA from 1 species
UCUAAUAUGGCAGAUUAGUGCAAUGGAUUUAAACCCCAUAUAUAAAGGUUACUCUUUUUUUAGAA